rnacentral:tRNA from 1 species
GCUCUCAUAGUUCAAUGAUAGAACACGUCACCGGUAAUGACGAGACCACAGUUUGAUUCUGUGUGGGAGCACCA